UACGAAGGGUGCUAGCGUUGCUCGGAAUCACUGGGCGUAAAGGGUGCGUAGGCGGGUCUUUAAGUCAGGGGUGAAAUCCUGGAGCUCAACUCCAGAACUGCCUUUGAUACUGAAGAUCUUGAGUUCGGGAGAGGUGAGUGGAACUGCGAGUGUAGAGGUGAAAUUCGUAGAUAUUCGCAAGAACACCAGUGGCGAAGGCGGCUCACUGGCCCGAUACUGACGCUGAGGCACGAAAGCGUGGGGAGCAAACAGG
rnacentral:rRNA from 1 species